CCUACGGGCGGCAGCAGUGGGGAAUAUUGGACAAUGGGCGAAAGCCUGAUCCAGCCAUGCCGCGUGUGUGAAGAAGGCCUUCGGGUUGUAAAGCACUUUCAGUGGGGAAGAAAGCCUUGGGGCUAAUACCCUCGAGGAAGGACAUCACCCACAGAAGAAGCACCGGCUAACUCCGUGCCAGCAGCCGCGGUAAUACGGAGGGUGCGAGCGUUAAUCGGAAUUACUGGGCGUAAAGCGCGCGUAGGCGGUCUGAUAAGCCGGUUGUGAAAGCCCCGGGCUCAACCUGGGAACGGCAUCCGGAACGGUCAGGCUAGAGUGCAGGAGAGGAAGGUGGAAUUCCCGGUGUAGCGGUGAAAUGCGUAGAGAUCGGGAGGAAUACCAGUGGCGAAGGCGGCCUUCUGGACUGACACUGACGCUGAGGUGCGAAAGCGUGGGUAGCAAACAGGAUUAGAUACCCGGGUAGUC
rnacentral:rRNA from 1 species